CCUACGGGAGGCAGCAGUAGGGAAUCUUCCACAAUGGACGAAAGUCUGAUGGAGCAACGCCGCGUGAGCGAUGAAGGCCUUCGGGUCGUAAAGCUCUGUUGUCAGGGAAGAACAAGUAUCGGAGUAACUGCCGGUACCUUGACGGUACCUGACCAGAAAGCCACGGCUAACUACGUGCCNGCAGCCGCGGUAAUACGUAGGUGGCAAGCGUUGUCCGGAAUUAUUGGGCGUAAAGCGCGCGCAGGCGGUCCUUUAAGUCUGAUGUGAAAGCCCACGGCUCAACCNUGGAGGGUCAUUGGAAACUGGGGGACUUGAGUGCAGAAAAGAGGAAAGCGGAAUUCCACGUGUAGCGGUGAAAUGCGUAGAGAUGUGGAGGAACACCAGUGGCGAAGGNGGCUUUCUGGUCUGUAACUGACGCUGAGGCGCGAAAGCGUGGGGAGCAAACAGGAUUAGAUACCNUGGUAGUCCACGCNGUAAACGAUGAGUGCUAAGUGUUAGAGGGUUUCCGCCCUUUAGUGCUGCAGCUAACGCAUUAAGCACUCCGCCUGGGGAGUACGGCCGCAAGGCUGAAACUCAAAGGAAUUGACGGGGGCCCGCACAAGCGGUGGAGCAUGUGGUUUAAUUCGAAGCAACGCGAAGAACCUUAC
rnacentral:rRNA from 1 species